UACAGAGGGUGCGAGCGUUGUCCGGAAUCCCUGGGCGUAAAGGGCGCGUAGGUGGCGACCCAAGUCUGUGGUGAAAGCUCGACGCUCAACGUCGAGUCGGCCAUAGAUACUGGGUUGCUUGAGCACUGUAGAGGCAGAUGGAAUUCCGGGUGUAGCGGUGGAAUGCGUAGAGAUCCGGAAGAACACCGGUGGCGAAGGCGGUCUGCUGGGCAGUUGCUGACACUGAGGCGCGACAGCGUGGGGAGCAAACAGG
rnacentral:rRNA from 1 species